UUGAUCAUGGCUCAGAUUGAACGCUGGCUGGCAGGCCUAACACAUGCAAGUCGAGCGGCAGCACAAGUAAGUUUACUUAUGAGGUGGCGAGCGGCGGACGGGUGAGUAAUGCCUAGGGAUCUGCCCAGUCGAGGGGGAUAACAGUUGGAAACGACUGCUAAUACCGCAUACGCCCUACGGGGUGAAAGAGGGGGACCUUCGGGCCUCUCGCGAUUGGAUGAACCUAGGUGGGAUUAGCUAGUUGGUGAGGUAAUGGCUCACCAAGGCGACGAUCCCUAGNCUGUUCUGACGAGGAUGAUCAGCACACUGGGACUGAGACACGGCCAGGACUCCUACGGGAGGCAGCAGUGGGGAAUAUUGCACAAAUGGGGGAAACCCUGAUGCAGCCAUGCCAGCAGUGUGUGAACGAAGGCCUUCGNNGGUUGUAAAGCACUUUCAGU
rnacentral:rRNA from 1 species